UCCCCAGAAUCCAACCUCACCUUGUCUCAGUCGUCCGAUCUACUGGUUCAGAGUUUAAAGCACCGAAUCUCACACAAAAGCAAGAGAGAGAAAAGGAGGAGAGAGAGAGAAGAUGACGACUGAGAAAGAGAGGGAAGUUUAUGUAUACCAGGCCAAGCUUGCGGAGCAGGCAGAGAGAUAUGAGGAGAUGGUGGAAGCCAUGAAAGGGGUGGCAAAAUUGGAUGUGGAAUUGACAGUUGAAGAGAGGAAUUUGCUGUCAGUGGGGUAUAAGAAUGUUAUAGGGGCUCGGAGGGCGUCAUGGAGGAUCAUGUCUUCCAUUGAGCAAAAGGAGGAGGCCAAAGGAAAUGAUCAGAAUGUGAAGAGGAUAAGGGAUUAUAGGCACAAGGUAGAAGAGGAGCUCUCUAAUAUAUGCAGCGACAUUCUUACUGUUAUUGACGAGCAUCUCGUUCCUUCUUCAAACUCUGCAGAAUCCAUGGUUUUCUAUUAUAAGAUGAAAGGGGACUAUUAUCGGUACUUAGCGGAGUUUAAAUCAUUAAGUGGAAGGAAAGAAGCUGCCGACCAGUCACUGAAGGCAUACCAGGCUGCCACCAAUACUGCCUCCACAGACUUGCCCCCAACUCACCCAAUCAGACUUGGCCUUGCACUGAACUUCUCUGUCUUUUACUAUGAAAUACUGAACUCUCCUGAGAGAGCAUGUCAUCUUGCAAAGCAAGCAUUUGAUGAAGCCAUUGCUGAGCUUGAUAGCCUCAAUGAGGAGUCCUACAAGGACAGCACUCUCAUCAUGCAGCUCCUUCGUGACAAUCUUACUCUUUGGACCUCUGAUCUUCCUGAGGAUGGGAAUUGCUAAUGGUUUUGUGAAUGAUAUCAUUUGAGUUGACAGCUGAAGAUCAACCCAAGGGUGAUCAUGACGACGAGUAGUAGCAUCGGACUUCAACCUUUAGUAGCAGGAAAACUCUCUUUUAAGCAGCUGGAAAUCUCUCUCCCUCUCUCUAUUUGUGUGUGUGUGGGGUGUGUGUGUUAUUCUUCUCUUUAUUGGUAGUCUCAUGAUUUUAAUUAUGAUUUUAAUUGGUUUAAGUAGGCUUGGUGGCUUGAGGCAUGUAUUAUUAUUGUUUGCGGCUAUUGACCUUCCAUUUUUCCUUAUUUAUUUGGUAUGUUCAGCUUUCCACGUCCUAGUUAAAGAACAUUAGUAUUAUCGCAAUGGAACAUAUAUAUGGCAAUGUAUAAAAAGAAGCUUGUAACCCCUAUGUGGGUGGCGAUA